rnacentral:rRNA from 1 species
CCUACGGGAGACAGCAGUGGGGAAUAUUGCACAAUGGGGGAAACCCUGAUGCAGCGACGCCGCGUGAGUGAAGAAGUAAUUCGUUACGUACAGCUCUAUCAGCAGGGAAGAAAAUGACGGUACCUGAGUAAGAAGCCCCGACUAACUACGUGCCAGCAGCCGCGGUAAUACGUGGGGGGCAAGCGUUAUCCGGAUUUACUGGGUGUAAAGGGGGCGUAGACGGGGCGCCAAGUCUGGCGUGAAAUGCCGCAGCUGAACUGCGGAACUGCUUUGGAAACUGGCGAACUAGAGUGCGGGAGGGGUAAGCGGAAUGCCUAGUGUAGCGGGGAAAUGCGUAGAGAUUAGGAGGAACACCGGUGGCGAAGGCGGCUUACUGGACCGUAACUGACGUUGAGGCUCGAAAGCGUGGGGAGCAAACAGGAUUAGAUACCCGAGGAGUC